UCUACAGGCUUAACACAUGCAAGUCGAGGGGCAGCAUGGUCUUAGCUUGCUAAGGCCGAUGGCGACCGGCGCACGGGUGAGUAACACGUAUCCAACCUGCCGUCUACUCUUGGACAGCCUUCUGAAAGGAAGAUUAAUACAAGAUGGCAUCAUGAGUCCGCAUGUUCACAUGAUUAAAGGUAUUCCGGUAGACGAUGGGGAUGCGUUCCAUUAGAUAGUAGGCGGGGUAACGGCCCACCUAGUCUUCGAUGGAUAGGGGUUCUGAGAGGAAGGUCCCCCACAUUGGAACUGAGACACGGUCCAAACCCCUACGGGAGGCAGCAGUGAGGAAUAUUGGUCAAUGGGCGAGAGCUUGAACCAGCCAAGUAGCGUGAAGGAUGACUGCCCUAUGGGUUGUAAACUUCUUUUAUAAAGGAAUAAAGUCGGGUAUGGAUACCCGUUUGCAUGUACUUUAUGAAUAAGGAUCGGCUAACUCCGUGCCAGCAGCCGCGGUAGUACGGAGGAUCCGAGCGUUAUCCGGAUUUAUUGGGUUUAAAGGGAGCGUAGAUGGAUGUUUAAGUCAGUUGUGAAAGUUUGCGGCUCAACCGUAAAAUUGCAGUUGAUACUGGAUAUCUUGAGUGCAGUUGAGGCAGGCGGAAUUCGUGGUGUAGCGGUGAAAUGCUUAGAUAUCACGAAGAACUCCGAUUGCGAAGGCAGCCUGCUAAGCUGCAACUGACAUUGAGGCUCGAAAGUGUGGGUAUCAAACAGGAUUAGAUACCCUGGUAGUCCACACGGUAAACGAUGAAUACUCGCUGUUUGCGAUAUACUGCAAGCGGCCAAGCGAAAGCGUUAAGUAUUCCACCUGGGGAGUACGCCGGCAACGGUGAAACUCAAAGGAAUUGACGGGGGCCCGCACAAGCGGAGGAACAUGUGGUUUAAUUCGAUGAUACGCGAGGAACCUUACCCGGGCUUAAAUUGCAGAUGAAUUACGGUGAAAGCCGUAAGCCGCAAGGCAUCUGUGAAGGUGCUGCAUGGUUGUCGUCAGCUCGUGCCGUGAGGUGUCGGCUUAAGUGCCAUAACGAGCGCAACCCUUGUUGUCAGUUACUAACAGGUUCCGCUGAGGACUCUGACAAGACUGCCAUCGUAAGAUGUGAGGAAGGUGGGGAUGACGUCAAAUCAGCACGGCCCUUACGUCCGGGGCUACACACGUGUUACAAUGGGGGGUACAGAGGGCCGCUACCACGCGAGUGGAUGCCAAUCCCCAAAACCUCUCUCAGUUCGGACUGGAGUCUGCAACCCGACUCCACGAAGCUGGAUUCGCUAGUAAUCGCGCAUCAGCCACGGCGCGGUGAAUACGUUCCCGGGCCUUGUACACACCGCCCGUCAAGCCAUGGGAGCCGGGGGUACCUGAAGUGCGUAACCGCGAGGAGCGCCCUAGGGUAAAACUGGUGACUGGGGCUA
rnacentral:rRNA from 1 species